AGUGAACGCUGGCGGUAGGCCUAACACAUGCAAGUCGAACGGCAGCACAGUAAGAGCUUGCUCUUACGGGUGGCGAGUGGCGGACGGGUGAGGAAUACAUCGGAAUCUACUUUUUCGUGGGGGAUAACGUAGGGAAACUUACGCUAAUACCGCAUACGACCUACGGGUGAAAGCAGGGGAUCUUCGGACCUUGCGCGAUUGAAUGAGCCGAUGUCGGAUUAGCUAGUUGGCGGGGUAAAGGCCCACCAAGGCGACGAUCCGUAGCUGGUCUGAGAGGAUGAUCAGCCACACUGGAACUGGGACACGGUCCAGACUCCUACGGGAGGCAGCAGGGGGGAAUAUUGGACAAUGGGCGCAAGCCUGAUCCAGCCAUACCGCGUGGGUGAAGAAGGCCUUCGGGUUGUAAAGCCCUUUUGUUGGGAAAGAAAAGCAGCAGGUUAAUACCCCGCUGUUCUGACGGUACCCAAAGAAUAAGCACCGGCUAACUUCGU
rnacentral:rRNA from 1 species